UGGGGAAUAUUGGACAAUGGGGGCAACCCUGAUCCAGCCAUGCCGCGUGGGUGAAGAAGGCCUUAGGGUUGUAAAGCCCUUUCAGCGGGGAAGAUGAUGACGGUACCCGCAGAAGAAGCCCCGGCUAACUCCGUGCCAGCAGCCGCGGUAAUACGGAGGGGGCAAGCGUUGUUCGGAUUUACUGGGCGUAAAGCGCACGUAGGCGGAUCGUUAAGUGAGGGGUGAAAUCCCAGGGCUCAACCCUGGAACUGCCUCUCAUACUGGCGAUCUGGAGUUCGAGAGAGGUGAGUGGAAUUCCGAGUGUAGAGGUGAAAUUCGUAGAUAUUCGGAGGAACACCAGUGGCGAAGGCGGCUCACUGGCUCGAUACUGACGCUGAGGUGCGAAAGCGUGGGGAGCAAACAGGAUUAGAUACCCCUGUAGUCC
rnacentral:rRNA from 1 species